rnacentral:rRNA from 1 species
CAAGUCGAACGCAGUAGCAAUACUGAGUGGCAGACGGGUGAGUAACAUGUGGGAAUCUGCCUUGUGGUUCAGGACAACAUUGGGAAACCGAUGCUAAUACUGGAUAAGCCCUUACGGGGAAAGUUUUAAUGCCAUAAGAUGAGCCCGCAUUUGAUUAGUUAGUUGGUGAGGUAAUGGCUCACCAAGACAAUGAUCAAUAGCUGAUCUGAGAGGAUGAUCAGCCACACUGGGACUGAGACACGGCCCAGACUCCUACGGGAGGCAGCAGUGGGGAAUCUCGCACAAUGGAGGAAACUCUGAUGCAGCGAUGCCGCGUGAGUGAAGAAGGCCUUUGGGUUGUAAAGCUCUUUUGUAGGGGAAGAUAAUGACUGUACCCUAAGAAUAAGGUCCGGCUAACUUCGUGCCAGCAGCCGCGGUAAUACGAAGGGACCUAGCGUAGUUCGGAAUUACUGGGCGUAAAGCGCGCGUAGGCCGUUGAGUUAGUUAAUUGUGAAAUCCCAAAGCUUAACUUUGGAACUGCAAUUAAAACUGCUCGACUAGAGUUUGAUAGAGGAAAGCGGAAUACAUAGUGUAGAGGUGAAAUUCGUAGAUAUUAUGUAGAACACCAGUUGCGAAGGCGGCUUUCUGGAUCAACACUGACGCUGAGGCGCGAAAGUAUGGGUAGCAAAGAGGAUUAGAUACCCUCGUAGUCCAUACCAUAAACGAUGAUUGCUAGAUGUUGGAAAUUUAUUUUCAGUAUCGCAGCUAACGCAUUAAGCAAUCCGCCUGGGGAGUACGACCGCAAGGUUAAAACUCAAAUGAAUUGACGG